rnacentral:rRNA from 1 species
CAGGUCACUCCUACGGGAGGCAGCAGUAAGGAAUAUUGGACAAUGGCCGCAAGGCUGAUCCAGCCAUGCCGCGUGCAGGAUGACGGCGCUCUGCGUUGUAAACUGCUUUUACCCGGGAAAAAACCCCUGCUUUCCAGCGGGGCUGAUUGUACCGGGAGAAUAAGGGACGGCUAACUUCGUGCCAGCAGCCGCGGUAAUACGAAGGUCCCAAGCGUUAUCCGGAUUUAUUGGGUUUAAAGGGUGCGUAGGCGGCUUAUUAAGUCAGUGGUGAAAGCUCCAUGCUUAACGUGGAAAUUGCCAUUGAUACUGAUGAGCUUGAGUAGAUUUGAGGCGGGCGGAAUGUGUCGUGUAGCGGUGAAAUGCUUAGAUAUGACACAGAACACCGAUUGCGUAGGCAGCUCGCUAAACUCUUACUGACGCUGAGGCACGAAAGCAUGGGGAUCAAACAGGAUUAGAUACCCUGGUAGUCCAUGCCCUAAACGAUGAUUACUCGAUGUGUGCGAUAUACUGUACGCGUCUGAGCGAAAGCAUUAAGUAAUCCACCUGGGGAGUACGGCCGCAAGGCUGAAACUCAAAGGAAUUGAC